AAUAUCUAUACGAAAUUAAAAAAACGAAAAAAAAAAAAAAUAAUAUUGCCUCUGAUGCCGCUGCAGAAGGCCGGUCUAAUUUGUGUGAGCGGCUUGUCAAAAAAAAAAAAAAAAAAAAACGUAAUAAUGUAUUAUAACAGGUGUAAAGUUAUGAAAAAAAACACUCACUAUAUAGUCUGGUUUCGAGAAUGCCAAUUCACACAACAUAAAAUGUUCGACUGAUGCAGUAGGUAUAUAUAACUACUUACC